ACAGUCAUUGUUUCCAGACCAGCCGAGCCAACUGGGGAGGAGAGGCCAAGCCCAGGGAGAGCAGUAAGAGGCCCAGCUUGCAACACAGGCCCCCGGCGGCUGGAGUCGGCUCAUGGGUUGCUGGGGGGCAGCUGGUGCCAGCCCUGCUAGACAUGUCCAGGGUCGGGGCAGAGGCCAGGGUGGCUCUCAUCCACAACGAGGCUCCAGGAAGAGGCUCCAGAGGGCCCAGGUCCCUGGAGGAAGACAGAGGGUGGAUUAUCCAGUGAGUCCUCAGAUUGCUCCAGGGAGACUCUACCCCUAGGCCCUCAUCCUACCUAGGACUGAGGCAGCCAUCUGGGUCUCUGCUUCCCUAACCACUUCCUCCUCCACCCGACCAUCACCUAGUCUCAAGGACUUGGGCAGCUUCUGGAAGUGGCUGAGACUGGAAGAAUGUUGUCACACCUACCAGAUAUCCCUACGUGUAUCUCUACCACCCCCACUACAUAUUCUGAAGAACCAAGAGCCCUAGCUCCUCCGUGUCCCUCAUCUGUCAAGUCUGCUCUCAGGGAAAAGCGGAAACUCACUCAGUCCCAAAGGUGAAUGGUAACCUCAGCUUCUUCUCAGGGUGGGAGGGGAGGCCGGUGUUUUCCCAGAUCCUAAGCUAAAGUAAGCUCCUGCUAAACAGAUGAGGGAAUUAUGCUGAGGGGGAAGAGGUUCACCCUGGACUCCUGUGAAUUCCUUGAAGGAUUCAUGAGAUUUCUCACCUCUGGGUUUUCUGUGGGGGUUGAGUCUCUCCAUCUGUAAUGCUCUUUGUCUAAUUGGCUCACACUUUCUUUCUGCUGAAUAAUGUCACUUCUGUGCUUGGGAGUGGUCCCUGGGGUAGAGGAUGCCAGUUGCCAAGCAAAACCUAUCCCCCUUUCUUCUUGACUGACAGACACUUAUAUUAUUGGGGCAGCUAAAGCACUACAUUUCCCAAGUUUACAGACAUCUGUGGCCAAGCGGGUGUAAGCAGAAGACUUUAGGGGUAGAGGAUGCCUCAGAGAAAGUUAUUCAAAAGGGGGAUAAUUAAAACAGGAGGUGAACUUUCUUCUUUGCCCUUCCCCCAUGGAAUGUGGCCAUGAUGGUUGGAGCUCCAGCAGCCAUCUUGGGACCAAUGUGAGGAUGGACAUUACAAGCUAAGAGGGCUGAGCAGAAAGAAAGAAGACAUCAGACUCUGAUGAGUGACUGUGGAGCUGCCUUGCCAGUCCUAGACUGCCCAAGGCCGUAUUUCUCUCAGGUGAAAAUAAACCUGUAUCCUCUUUAA
rnacentral:lncRNA from 1 species